GACGAACGCUGGCGGCGUGCUUAACACAUGCAAGUCGAACGGUGAAGCGCCUUCCUUUUUGGUGGGUGUGGAUGAGUGGCGAACGGGUGAGUAACACGUGAGUAACCUGCCCCCUUCUUCUGGAUAACCGCAUGAAAGUGUGGCUAAUACGGGAUAUUCUGGGUCUGUCGCAUGAUGGGUCUGGGAAAGAUAUUGUUUCGGUGGGGGAUGGGCUCGCGGCCUAUCAGCUUGUUGGUGGGGUGAUGGCCUACCAAGGCGGUGACGGGUAGCCGGCCUGAGAGGGUGGACGGUCACACUGGGAAUGAGACACGGCCAAGACUCCUACGGGAGGCAGCAGUGGGGAAUAUUGCACAAUGGGCGCAAGCCUGAUGCAGCGACGCCGCGUGAGGGAUGGAAGCCUUCGGGUUGCGAACCUCUUUCGCCAGUGAAGCAGGCCUGCCUCGUUUGUGGGUGGGUUGACGGUAGCUGGAUAAGAAGCGCCGGCUAACUACGUG
rnacentral:rRNA from 1 species